AUGGAUCCAUAUGCACAUAUACAAAAAUUGGAACAUUCUAGAGAAGACUAGCAGGCCUCUGCAUGAGGAAGACACACAAAUUUCUGAAGCAUUUCAAUAGCAU